rnacentral:pre_miRNA from 1 species
AAGCUAGCGGAAACACCUCUCACAGUCUGGAUUCUGGAUCCAGUGUGCGGAAAUGCUUCCGCUACGUU